rnacentral:rRNA from 1 species
GAUGAACGCUGGCGGCGUGCCUAAUACAUGCAAGUCGAGCGAACGGACGAGAAGCUUGCUUUUCUGAUGUUAGCGGCGGACGGGUGAGUACCACGUGGAUACCCUACCUAUAAGACUGGGAUAACUUCGGGAAACCGGAGCUAAUACCGGAUAAUAUUUUGAACCGCAUGGUUCAAAAGUGAUCACGCUUCUUGCUGUCACUAAUAGAUGUAUCCGCGCUGCAUUAGCUAGUUGGUAAGGUAAAGGCUUACCAAGGCUACGAUGCGUAGCCGACCUGAGAGGGUGAUCGGCCACACUGGAACUGAGACACGGUCCAGACUCCUACGGGAGGCAGCAGUAGGGAAUCUUGCGCAAUGGGCGAAAGCCUGACGGAGCAACGCCGCGUGAGUGAUGAAGGUCUUCGGAUCGUAAAGCUCUGUUAUUAGGGAAGAACAUAUGUGUAAGUAACUGUGCACAUCUUGACGGUACCUAAUCAGAAAGCCACGGCUAACUACGUG